GGUGAACGCUGGCGGCGUGCCUAAUACAUGCAAGUCGAACGCGAGAGGAGGGAGCUUGCUCCCUCUGAUCGAGUGGCGGACGGGUGAGUAACACGUAGGCAACCUGCCCAUCAGUCCGGGAUAACCGCGGGAAACCGUGGCUAAUACCGGAUGAUCCUCUCCACCGCGGGGUGGGGAGUUGAAAGACGGUUUCGGCUGUCGCUGAUGGAUGGGCCUGCGGCGCAUUAGCUGGUUGGCGGGGUAACGGCCCACCAAGGCAACGAUGCGUAGCCGCCCUGAGAGGGUGAUCGGCCGCACUGGGACUGAGACACGGCCCAGACUCCUACGGGAGGCAGCAGUAGGGAAUCUUCCACAAUGGACGCAAGUCUGACGGAGCAACGCCGAAUGAGUGAAGAAGGGUUUCGGCUCGUAAAACUCUGUUGUUAAGGAAGAACGACAGGUAGAGUAACUGCUACCUGUGUGACGGUACUUAACCAGAAAGCCACGGCUAACUACGUGCCAGCCGCCGCCGUAA
rnacentral:rRNA from 1 species